CCCCUGCAAUUAUAUGCCAAUCCAAACAAAUCAAUAAAGCAUGCCAGAACGACUUCAUAGAUCAAUAACUCAAGAGCAUAGAAUGAAGAUAUUGACACAAGUAAGAAGCAGUAGAAAUCCAAAUAGAGCGCAAGAACAAACCAACUUAUCCUCCACACCAGUAAAUCCAAGGCUCUCCGUAGUGCAAUCCUGAUUGAGAUUUGAACCACCACUGGUCCAUAUAGGAAAAAGCUCAUGAUAAUUUUAACUAGAAGAAUGAUUCUGUAAUCCUACACAACACUCAAAACAGGGAUUUCUGCCUGGAUUCAAGUAUAGGCCACAACAAAAUACACGACAGUAGAUAAUGCCAAAGAGCGAGCAAGGUCAGAUUUAUGGCAUAACAAUAUGCUAAAUAGAUUGCUGGUGUGCACAAGAAUGGACUAAAUCACACUAUCUAGCAUCACCCCGAAAUGGAUUGAAGCAAUCAAUAAAGAUGUCAAUGACCUGUAAAGUUUCUGGUCAAAUACUAUAAAAUUCAAG
rnacentral:lncRNA from 1 species